GAUGAAGAACGCAGCAAAAUGCGAUAAGUAAUGUGAAUUGCAGAAUUCAGUGAAUCAUCGAAUCUUUGAACGCACAUUGCGCCCGCCAGUAUUCUGGCGGGCAUGCCUGUUCGGGCGUCAUUUCAACCCUCAAGCACAGCUUGGUGUUGGGACUCGCGUUAAUUCGCGUUCCCCAAAUUGAUUGGCGGUCACGUCGAGCUUCCAUAGCGUAGUAGUAAAACCCUCGUUACUGGUAAUCGUCGCGGCCACGCCGUUAAACCCCAACUUCUGAAUGUUGACCUCGGAUCAGGUAGGAAUACCCGCUGAACUUAAGCAUAUCAAUAAGCGGAGGA
rnacentral:misc_RNA from 1 species